rnacentral:rRNA from 1 species
AUAAAAAGCCAAUGCCCUCCGGGGCUCUUUGGCGAUUCAUAGUAACUUAACGGAUCGCUAUGGCCUAAGCGCCGGCGACGGUUCAUUCAAAUUUCUGCCCUAUCAACUUUUGAUGGAAGGUAUUCUCUUACCUAUGGUUUCAACGGGUAACGGGGAAUUAGGGUUCGAUUCCGGAGAAGGGAGCCUGAAACGGCUACCACAUCCAAGGAAGGCAGCAGGCGCCCAAAUUACCCAAUCCCGACACGGGGAGUUAGUGACAAUAAAUACUGAUACAGGGCUCUUUUGGGUCUUGUAAUCGGAAUGAGUACAAUUUAAACCCCUUAACGAGGAACAAUUGGAGGGCAAGUCUGGUGCCAGCAGCCGCGGUAAUUCCAGCUCCAAUAGCGUAUAUUAAAGUUGUUGCAGUUAAAAAGCUCCAAGUUGAACCUUGGGCCUGGCGGCCGGUCCGCCUCACCGCGUGUACCUGGUCGGCCGGGCCAUUCUUCUGGAGAACCCCAUGCCGUUCACUGGGUGUGCG